AUGAAAUCGAAAAUAUUCCGAGAUGGCAAAUAUUCAGAGAUGACUAUGAAAACACCUCUCUGGAUCCUCGAAUUGAAAGAGAGAUUGAGAGGGAUCAAGAAUCCUAAUUCUCGUUAUUUGGAAUGGAUCCAAUUCUAUUGA
rnacentral:rRNA from 1 species